UUUCUUUUUCAGCCAGGUUUUUUGCGAUCUCUGAAAGAUGGGAGACUCUGGGCCGUUUGAAGCUGCAUGAGGAGGAAGCGUGGGGCUUCACCCUGAAUGUUGCCAAAGAUGUGACUUGGAGAUAGAUAGAUCGCGAUCGGUGAUAAUUUUGUUGACAGUCCAGUUUGGGUGCUUUGAAAAGGGAAUGAAUCUGGGUCCAUUGUGUUUAUCAAUUACUGGUAUGAUUUGUAACUGUUUCAUUGUUAUACUUGGAUUUCCAAACUGAGGAGAUGAUUAGGCUGUAACGUGAAAACUUGCUCCGUUUCAAAAUAGUUCAAGUUAUAGGAUUUUUCAAAGUCAAACCUUUUAAAGUUUGACCAAGCUUAUAUAUAGAUAAAUCUGCAAAGAUGUAUGGUGUUAAAUAUAUAUAAUAUGAAAAAUUUCAUUUCAUAAUAAAUUUGAUGAACUAAAUAUGGUCUUGUAGAUGUUGAUAUAUUUUUGUAUAAGAUACAGUUUGUCAAACGUAAUGAAGUUUGACUUAGGAGAAUAAUAGUAGCACUCUCGUAAUGAAGAGAACGAAAGAAAGUAAUAAAUUAAAUAAAAAUGCACUAUAUCGGCCAAGCCUUUGAGAACAUGCUUAUAUAAAAUAGGAAAGAAGAAUCUCUGUGGAAAUAAGGUUCAAUCCUAUCUAUGGGUAUCCUCAAAUUCAAAAAUCAUAACAUCCGUGAAUUUUUCAACCUUUCUUUCAUUAGGUACUACCUCCGUCCGGGUUUAUAAGGGAAAAGGCCUCCAGUUUCUUUUAGUGCAAAAGAAAAGCCGAUUCCAAAUUUUCUCCGGGUUUAUAGAGCCCUUCGACAGCAUCUCCCGGACCAAGGCAGCUGCAGCGAUUCAAAAGCAAAAGCUAAAUGACUGCAGGCAUUGGUUGCAUGCUUCGGUGGCUAAAUAAAGUAUCUUGGACCCCACCUACUUUUUACUAUUGCCAGGAGCUUGCUGCCGGUAAAAGCAACAGGGCGCGACAUGCAUUGGCUGUAGCCUGCCACAGUCUUGCUACCACUACUAGACUCGCAUGCAUGCGGCCUUAAAAACGCGGACGUCGCUGGGUGGCCAAACGGCCUCUUAAACCCGGACGGAGGUAGUAUUUCCUAUUUAUUUUGACUCAAUUAUUAUAUGCAAAAUAAAAGUAAUUCAGUCAAAGUUCAAAAAAUCCCUAUUUUUUUGGUAUUAACGUGACAAAGUAUUUGUGCUUGUAUUUGUCAGAGAAUGGCUUUCAUUGUAUCCUAGGUCAAGGAUUCGUGAAAAAACUACGCUAUGUAAAAGUACUAUUCGGGCUAUAUUGUCGUUAUAGUACUCAUAUAUAUUUUGCUCUGAAAGUCAAUGGGAAUCGUUCCUUAGCCAAUUUUUUAUAUGAGUACAAUACUUGAUCAUAUUUGAUUUCAGAAGCUCCAGCAACCAGCCGCCACAACCCCUUCCCAGCCCCUCAACCACCUCGCCGCCACCGGAGGAGCGGUCGGCGAAGCCCGCGCCGGCUCCCAGGAUGGUGGCGGCGAGGCGCCUCUUCCGGCUAUGGCCUCCUUACCGUCACGCCCGUCCGCCGGCCUCUGUGCCCCGACGGCCGAUCCACUCUCCGCCGGCGCGUCUCUGGCGGCGACCUUCUCCCCACCCCGCCCGACCUCGCCCUGCUCCCUUCCCCGUCCGAUUUUCGCGCCAGAUCUCGGCCCAGCGAGGUUUGUCCUGUCGCCGACGUUUCUCUCCUGCUGGCGCUAGACCCGGGGUUGGGGCUGAUGUCCUCCUUGGCUGGCCUUGGGGCUACCCUUGUGGCGCCGCGACGACCCCCGAUCUGCGGCCAUGACUACAAGGAUCUGACGCCAGGAUGACGCGAGGUGUCGACGGCGGCUGUAGGGUCGUUGCGCUGGGCAUGUGGGGCUGCGGCGAUGUGCUGGCCUUCUGCGUGUGCCAGCCGAACGGCGACGCUACGUUUUUCGGUUGGUGGUGCUGAUCUAGAUCAGAUCGGUCAGAUGGUGGUGUUCGUAGAUUGUUCUCCAGCAACUUCCUACAGAUCCACGACUGCGCAGGUCAUCGAAAAGAGUUUUGGAGUUUUUAUCUCUUGAUCUGGUUGAUGACUUCAGUGGUGUGAUACAAAUUAUGGAUGAUGACUUGACGCAGAGGGUAAGUUGUUGAGUGGCGGCGGUCCAAUUGUAGUUGUUGCACUAGUAGAAAACCACCCAUUAGUCCCGGUUUGUAAGGGCCUUUAGUCCCGGUUCAUGAACCGGGACUAAUGGUGUUGGGGAACGUAGCAGAAAUUCAAAAUUUUCCUACGUGUCACCAAGAUCUAUCUAUGGAGAGAUCAGCAACGAGUAGAAAGAGAGUGCAUCUACAUACCCUUGUAGAUCGCUAAGCGGAAGCGUUCAAGUGAACGGGGUUGAUGGAGUCGUACUCGUCGUGAUUCAAAUCACCAAUGAUCAAGUGCCGAACGUACGGCACCUCCGCGUUCAACACACGUACAGCCCGGUGACGUCUCCCACGCCUUGAUCCAGCAAGGAGAGAGGGAGAGGUUGAGGAAGACUCCAUCCAACAGCAGCACAACGGCGUGGUGGUGGUGGAGGAGCGUGGCAAUCCAGCAGGGCUUCGCCAAGCACCACGGGAGAGGAGGAGGAGGAGAGGCAGGGCUGCACCAAGAGGGAGAAUUUCUCAUGUUUAUGGCAGCCCCAAACCUCAUCUAUAUAUAGGGGGAAGGGGGGGCUGCGCCCCCUUUAGGGUUUCCCACCCCCAAGGGGUGCGGCCAGCCCUAGAUGGCAAAGGGGAGGCGGCCAAGAGGGGAGAGGAGAGGGAGGCGCACCAAUAUGGGCCUUAAGGCCCAUCUGGACUAGGGUUUGCCCCCUCCCACUCCCCCUUGCGCCUUGGCCCCCUUGUGGGGGGCGCACCAGACCUCCUAGGGGCUGGUCCCCUCCCACACUUGGCCCACGCAACCUUCUGGGGCAGGUGGCCCCACUUGGUGGACCCUCGGGACCCUCCCGGUGGUCCCGGUACAAUACCGAUAUCGCCCGAAACUUUUCCGGUGACCAAAACAGGACUUCCCAUAUAUAAAUCUUUACCUCCGGACCAUUCCGGAACUCCUCGUGACGUCCGGGAUCUCAUCCGGGACUCCGAACAACAUUCGGUAACCACAUACAAGCUUCCUUUAUAACCCUAGCGUCAUCGAACCUUAAGUGUGUAGACCCUACGGGUUCGGGAGACAUGCAGACAUGACCGAGACAUUCUCCGGUCAAUAACCAACAGCGGGAUCUGGAUACCCAUGUUGGCUCCCACAUGUUCCACGAUGAUCUCAUCGGAUGAACCACGAUGUCAAGGACUCAAUCGAUCCCGUAUACAAUUCCCUUUGUUUAGCGGUAUUUUACUUGCCCAAGAUUCGAUCGUCGGUAUACCGAUACCUUGUUCAAUCUCGUUACCGGCAAGUCUCUUUACUCGUUCCGUAACACAUCAUCCCGUGAUCAACCCCUUGGUCACAUUGUGCACAUUAUGAUGAUGUCCUACCGAGUGGGCCCAGAGAUACCUCUCCGUUUACACGGAGUGACAAAUCCCAGUCUCGAUCCGCAUAAAACAAUAGAUACUUUCGGAGAUACCUGUAGUGCACCUUUAUAGUCACCCAGUUACGUUGUGACGUUUGAUACACCCAAAGCACUCCUACGGUAUCCAGGAGUUACACGCUCUCAUGGUCAAAGGAAGAGAUACUUGACAUUGGCAAAGCUCUAGCAAACGAACUACACGAUCUUUGUGCUAUGCUUAGGAUUGGGUCUUGUCCAUCACAUCAUUCUCCUAAUGAUGUGAUCCCGUUAUCAACGACAUCCAAUGUCCAUAGCCAGGAAACCAUUGACUAUCUGUUGAUCACAACGAGCUAGUCAACUAGAGGCUCACUAGGGACAUAUUGUGGUCUAUGUAUUCACACGUGUAUUACGAUUUCCGGAUAAUACAGUUAUAGCAUGAAUAAAAGACUAUUAUCAUGAACAAAGAAAUAUAAUAAUAACACUUUUAUUAUUGCCUCUAGGGCAUAUUUCCAACAGUCUCCCACUUGCACUAGAGUCAAUAAUCUAGUUCACAUCGCCAUGUGAUUAACACUCACAGGUCACAUCGCCAUGUGACUAAUACCCAAGAGUUUACUAGAGUCAGUAGUCUAGUUCACAUCACUAUGUGAUUAACACUCAAUGAGUUUUAUGUUUGAUCAUGUUGCUUGUGAGAGAGGUUUUAGUCAACGGGUCUGAACCUUUCAGAUCCGUGUGUGCUUUACAAAUCUCUAUGUCAUCUCCUAGAUGCAGCUACCACGCUCUAUUUGGAGCUAUUCCAAAUAACUGUUCCACUUGGAGCUAUUCUAAAUUGUUGCCCCAUAAUACGUAUCCGGUAUCUCUACUUAGAGCUAUCCGGAUAGGUGUUAAGCUUGCAUCGACGUAACCUUUACGACGAACUCUUUUACCACCUCCAUAAUCGAGAAAAUUCCUUAGUCCACUAGUUACUAAGGAUAACUUUGACCGCUGUCUGUGAUCCAUUCUUGGAUCACUCUUGUACCCCUUGACUAACUCAUGGCAAGGCACACUUCAAGUGCGGUACACAGCAUAGCAUACUGAAGAGCCUACGUCUUAAGCAUAGGGGACGACCUUCGUCCUUUCUCUCUAUUCUGCCGUGGUCGAGCUUUAAGUCUUAACUUCGUACCUUACAACUCAGGAAAGAACUCCUUCUUUGACUGGUCCAUCUUGAACACCUUCAAGAUCAUGUCAAGGUAUGUGCUCAUUUGAAAGUAUUAUUAAGCAUUUUGAUCUAUCCUUAUAGAUCAUGAUGCUCAAUGUUCAAGUAGCUUAAUCCAGGUUUUCUAUU
rnacentral:lncRNA from 1 species